CGAAGAAAAAUAUAAAAUGGAAACUAGUGCUGACUAAACAUCAAUAUAAAGCCGGGCCGAUAAGACCGUCAUAGCUAUUACAGCUGGCAAACAAACAAAAUAUACAUACAAGGACUAAAAGCCCAACAUACUGCACUAACUAACAGAAUAUGUCUACAAGCCUCUACCGAUGGAUGUAGGUGAUCGGAACACGGCCCCAACCUACCCAUAACAUAUAUACAUAUAUACAUAAAAUGUACACAAAACUCUAGACCCGGCAACUCUGAAGGACGUGGAGCUUACCAAUCAAGCUGAACUCGGGCAACACCUACUGAGGAGGUCUACCCGUCUAUCUGUAUGCACCUGCAUGCAUGAAAUGCAGCGCCCCCAGAAAAGGGACGUUAGUACGAAAUAAUGUACCGAGUAUGUAAGGCAAUAAAAUAACCGAAAGCUGAAACUGAACUGAUAAUAUGAUAAUUGAAAGUAACUAGGAGAUAAAGAUGAUCGGGAGAUAUACUUACCUACUGAUAUUGAAUCAACUUUCUCAAUAUAAUAAGUAAAAUAAAUGUUCGGCCGUAUAAGGCUCGGAACGUGUAACUGCUCUACCGUAGUAGGCAUGCUUAUAGGCGCUCGGCCAUACUAGGCUUUGUAUCUCAACCAUUCUGGGCUCGCUCAUAGGCGCUCGGCCACAGUAGGCUCGGUAUAUAACUUACCAUCUGAUCAUAGGUUGCCCAAUAGGGGCCUGUCCACCGAUUAUAACUCGAUGGUAGUAAAAAUAUUGUAAUAAUGUAUAUAUAUAUAUAUGUGUGUGUGUGUGUAUAUAUAUAUAUAUAUAUAUAUACUCUCUGCUCUCUUAACUAGAAGAAGACAAUACUCAAUUGAAUAUAAAGUCCUGAUAAGGGAGAAUAUUGUAACUUAUGAGACUAGGAUAAUAUAUAUAAAUUCGAGAGUAUGAUAUUCUCUUUAUGCCUCAUCAUCAAACACAUGUAGUUAUGAGAUCAUGCCAAAAUGAAGGAAGGACUUAGCCUUAACAUGCCUUAUCACAAUCUUUCCAAUCACCAAAUUGAACUCGCCUCUUUGCACACAACAACGAUAAUAAUAAUAUCAUUAAGUUGUGAAAGGUACAACUAUCGCACAACGAAUGACAAACUUAUUUUGUAUAGAAACGGGUAGCAUCUCCCCUAUAAUCCUUACUUCCUCCAAAUUCAGGAUAACACCACCAACAACAACAUAUAUACAUUAAUUUCCAGCCGUAUAUACACCAUAAAAUACUACAAAACAGUCCAACACACUGCAAUCUCUUCAUACAAAAACCGACCACCGUAGUAGUGUCAAACGAUCCGGAAAUGUUUCGACGAACGACCAGCCACUGCCCUACAUCUAUAUGAUGUUUAUCCAUGCCCUUCCUCCUCCAAAACUCCACAAAAUAGUAGUAAAAAAUGCAGCCCAAUAGCAACACAAAACAGUCCACAAAACAGUCCGCUACAAGUGAAUAACUCAAACUCACGACUUCCGAUCACCGUCCCUAGAGUUCUUACAAAUAUAGAGUGACUUACCAUGAAGUUAUAGCAGAAACAAUAUAUGAAAUAGAGCAGUAAACUUACCUUGUUUGUUGGAUAACUCAGCUCCUAUCUUGGUUCUUCAAAGAAUAGGUUUUGCCUCCAAUUAGAACUUGAAAGGGGGAGAAAAUCAAUUAGGGUUUGUGGGUAAUUUUUGGGAGGAAGUUUACAGGGUUUUAGGUAUAUUUAUUUGUGAUAUAUAAUAAGGUUUAUAUUGCAGGAUAUAAUCCCUUAAAUGGGCUCUUUGCCUGACCCAAAUUGCCUCUUUUUGUGCUCUCAUUUAACCAAGUAGGUGACACAACUACUUGUCACCUAGCAGCCUGCACAGUCUCGCAAAAAUGCAUAUAUCUCUCUGUUCCAAUGUCGUAAUGAUAAACGGUUUAAUGUGUUAGAAAAUAGACUCAUAGAGAUUCAACUUUAUGGGUGGAACACCCCAUAAAUCUAAGUAUAUUGGGAGAAAAUUGUAGUUACAUUUGACCCAAAUUUUCAGUAAAACUUAUAAAUGUAACUUGUGAUGACUUUCAUCGACUUUUGUUCCACAACUCGCUUGACUUAAAACAAAACACACGAUUAUAAUACAACUAACCUAAUUCAUAACAUAACCUCCUUAUCAUGUUAAGCACCCUAGCCUCACCCCAAAAGUACAUGUUAUCGCAUUCUCAUCUUGUCGACUUUCGACGAAACAUUAUUUUCUUCAAUUCCUUUAGCUUCUGAACCUUCCAACCCUCUUGGUACUUGUUGUUCAUGAUAUUCAAUAUCUGUAACCUCCGAGGUAAUAUGAUUAACUUACUUUAUAUACGUUCAAAUAUUAUCUCAUUUUUAGUCCUACAUUAGUUUGUUUACGACACACUUUUACGUAUGAAAAUAUAGGGUGUAACACUCCUCAACACACUGAGUCCGUUUUUUGUAUACCUUAUAGGCUUUACUUUGAGAAGAGUACCCCAGAAAAAUUCCUUCAUCACUCUUGGCAUCAAAUUUUCCAAGCUGAUCCUUUCCAUUGUUGAGAACAUAACAUUUGCACCUAAAUGUUCUUAAGUGAGUCAGCUUGAGCUUCCUUCCAUUCAGCAACUCAUAGGGAGUUUUGUUCAAGAAAGACCUGAUCAUGAACCUGUUCACCAAGUAGCAGGCAGUGUUGAUAGCUUCAGACCAGAAGUUCUUAGCAAUCUCACUAUCGAUCAGCAUUGUUCUUGCCAUUUCUUCAAGAGUUCUGUUCUUCCUUUCCACAACUCCAUUUUGUUGUGGAGUUCUGGGGUCUGAGAAGUUGUGGGCGAUGCCAUUCUCGUUGCAGAAUUUAUCAAACUUAGCAUUGUCAAAUUCUGCUCCAUGAUCUGAUCUAAUGCAUGCUACUUUUGAUUCCAUCUUCACUUGAAUUUUCUUCACAAAGGCUACAAAAACUUCAAAGGUCUCAUCUUUUGUUCUAAGGAAGAGAGUCUAAGUGAAUCUGGAAUAGUCAUCCACUAUCACAAAAAUGUAUCUUUUUCCUCCCCUGCUUAGCACUCUCAUAGGGCCACAUAGAUCCAUAUGAAUGAGGUCAAGUGGUUUUGAGGUGCUGACAUCCUUCUUUGGCUUGAAUGAGGAUUUCACAUGCUUUCCUCUAGCGCAGGCAUCACAAACUUUGUGCUCUAUGAACUUUGACUUGGGCAGACCACAAACCAGGUCCUUCUGAACCAGCUUAUUCAGUAGAGAGAACCUUGCAUGCCCCAGCCUUCUGUGCCAUAGUUCAGCAUCAUCAUCAACUGCUUUCAAGCAGCUCAGAUCAUCACUUUGUGGGGACUCAAAAUCAGCAACAUAGAUAUUCUUGUAUCUUUUGGCCACAAGUACCACUUCACUAGUUACUAGAUUUGUAACUGUGCAUAUCUUUGACAAGAACUCCACCUCGUUUCCUUUAUCACAUAUUUGAGAAAAACUCAAGAGACUAUACUUAAGACCAUUGACAAUUGAGUGAGUGAGUGAUUUUCCAAUUUUUCCAACACCAAGAAUGUACACCUUUAUCCCAUUUCAAAAGGAUACACUCCCUCCUUGCAGGGCUUUUAGUAAAAUAAAUUCUAUGGUAUUCCCAGUCAUGUGCUUUGAGCAUCCACUAUCCAUGAACCAUUAUUGACUGCUUCCUUUCACUGUUCCCUACACAAAAAAAUCAAGGGUUAGAUUUAGAAACCCAAAUAAGUUUGGGUCCUUUGUAAUAAGGAAAGGGAUCAAUAAGUGCUCUUCUAGUCCAUGUAGGUAACAUGCGCUUUUUAUGGGUGGCACCUGGUCCUCUUUCAGCAGUUACUCCUUCAGCAAAAACUUUGUUUUUCUGAAGAGCACCUGACUUGGCGAUUUUCUUUGAAAUGCCCAUUGUUCCCACGGUAGGUACAAAACCAAAAUUAUCAUGCACAGUGACGUACUUGUUAUGAAAGUUAUAAGGAGUUCUCUCCCUUUGAAAUCCUAUUCCCUGCAUGUUUCCACCAUUGUUAACAUACAUGGCAUCCGAGAACCAGGUCUACUUAAGAGACUUCUCAAGAUCACUUUUUACUCUUUCCGAUUCUGCUUGAAGCUGUCUAUUUUUCUCAAGUUAAGCACACAAACUAGUUUUUACAGCAUUUAACUCAUUUUCAAGUUUAAUAGUUGCCUCACUAGCCACUUCUUUCCCUUUUUCAGAAUUCGCAGGCCUACAUUCAGCUUUGAGUUCCUCUAUUGUUUCCUUUAAGUCUACAAUCACCAAAAAGAGGUCAUCUCUUUCCUGCUCAAUAACAGCCACUUUCUCUUUUAAGGCAUCUUUUUCUUUACUGAAAUUCUCAAUGGUUUCUUUUAGGUCAACUACUACUACCAUCAGAUUAUCUCUUUCGUGUUCUACACUAGUGAUUUUCUCAGUGAGAACCUCCUUUUCAUUUUCUAGAUUAUUUAUAGUUUCCUUCAAAUCAACCACACAAACUACCAAGUCAUCUCUAGUUUGCUCAGCAUCUCCUAACUCUAUGGUUAAGGCGUCCUUAUCAUUUACAAGACUAUGGUAAGCAUCAAUUAACACAUUAGCUAAUGACAUGAGUUUUUUAGGAGAGAAGGACUUCAGAUUUCUCUGAACAUCCCGAAAGUUUACCUCAUCAUUGUCGUCGUCUUCAUCAUCAUUUGAUUGAGCCAUCAAAGAAAAUAUUGAGUCAUACUCAUUUUCUUCACUUUCAACUGCCAUCAUGUAGUUGUCACAUGCAUCAUCUUCUUCUUCAGACUCGCUGUAAGAAUCUCCCCAUGCUGCAAGAGCUUGCUUCACAACAUUGUUAGCGACGUUCUUUCUUUUGAAGCGUUUAUCAAGAAUCGGGUUCCUCUUGGCUGCUUUGUCAGAGUUAUGUUUGAAGCGUUCUUGCUUCAGGAGAGGCCAAUCUUUGAUGAAAUGCCCUGGCUUUCUACACUUAUGACAGAAGUCAUAAUUCUUUGACUUGCUAGAACUGUCCCUCUUUCGUAUACCUCCAUUCCUUCGAACCAUUUUCUGAAACCUUCUGUUUAAGUAAGCCAUGUCACUAUCCUCGCCACUUGAGUCAUUUCUUUCUGCCUUGAGUACCAUGCCCUUUUCCUUCUUUGGUUCUCUUCUCUCACUGUCUUUCUUCUUUUUUAUUUCAUAGGUUUUCAGAUUCCCAACCAGCUCAUCUAUAGUCAGUUUUUGUAAAUCCAUUGCUUCAAUAAUGGCAUUCACUUUACUCUCCUAGGAACUAGACAAAACACUAAGAAUUUUCCUCACGAGCUUGUUCCUAGGAAUGAUUUCACCAAUUAAGUGUGGCUCAUUUAUGAUGGAAGUGAAUCGAGUGUGCAUGUCUUGAAUGGAUUCAUCGUCCUUCAUUCUGAAGAGCUCAUACUUAGUGGUGAGCAUGUCAAUCUUAGAUUGCUUUGUGUCACACCUCAUUUUUCUACCCGAAAGGGUAUAGGGGAAUUUUUCCAAUUAAAGUGACAAUAAUCGAAACAGGAUUAUUUAUUCAAAUUCAGAGUCUCCACUUGGGAUAAUUUAUGGUGUCCCAAGUCACCGGUUUAAAAUCCCGAAUCAAAGAAGUUUGACUCUAUUUUAUAGUCCGCGAAACACAGAAAUCCGAGUAAGGAAUUCUGUUAACCCAGGAGAAGGUGUUAGGCAUUCCCGGGUUUUGUGGUUUUAGCACGAUCGCUCAACUAUUAUUAUUGGCCUAAUUAUUUGAUUAAUUAAAUAUCUUAUACCUAUUAUGCAUUUUUAACCUUUGGCCGCUUUUAAUUAUUUAUGGAAUUAUUCUGGAACAAGUUACGUUUGUCAUGCACUUAUUUGUUUGAUACACAUUGCGAAUCGUGUCACGGAACCGUACCCACAAUCUACAACAUGUUUAAUUUAUUAACAUUAUUAGAAGUUAUGGCCGGGUCACAUGAAAUGUGCACCUGAAUUUUGAAAAUUAUGUAUGACAACUACGUCACGGGAACUGUACCCGUAGCUAUGAUGAUUUAUUAUAGCACGCCUAAAGCAAACUACGAGUAUUCGUAUUUAAAACUAAUUCGACAUUCAAAUGAAGGCUACUAAUUUUAACUAUGUGUUGGGUAUAAUUAGGUUGGACCUUUAACUAUAUUGGGAAAAACCUUGGGCCAGCAGUAAGCCCAUUAGGUUAUUUGGUCAGAGAAAAAAUCAAUGUUAAGGCUGCUUGAGCUCGGAAUUUAACCCAGAAGUAAAAAAACUCAAAGGCCUUGCCAGGUCCAAUUUUGACCAUGGCUGUCUUGUUUUGGGCUAACGUCAGCCCAGCAGCUUUAAUGGGAAAAAUCUUUAAUAUGCUAAGGCCAUAAAUGAAGCCCAAUCUCUUCAAACACAAAUAACAAAAUAUUUUUAUCAAAAUUCUGAAUAUCAAAAUAUGCUGAAUAGCCGUGUUAUGGACUUUAACUCAUUAACAUGCCAUUAGUAAUACAAUAUUAGCUUAAACCCCUUAAACUACUAAUUAAUCACAUUGAAAUUAGACAUGUAAGUACUUUAACCAUAACUGAAAAUCUAGGAUACAAACUGGAUAUCACUCACUUAGUGAUUACAUACUGAAUUUCUUUUGAACGUGAAUAAACUUGGACAUCAAAAACUCAAAUGAAGUACCAUGACCAACAUAACAACCUCUACUCUUUAACAAAUAAACAAGAACAAGCUAAUAACAAACAUCAAUCAACUUGAACUCUUGAACAACACACGAAAGGCUAAAACAUUUUGAACAUUUAAACAUGAGAGCCCUACUAAAUUAUUGACUAAUAACAGAUCCAGCAUAUUCAUCUCAAAAGAAGAAAUUAAAAGGCCAAAUGACUUGUAAGAACAUAUAUAAAACUGAAAUUCAAUAUUUGAAUAUUAACUUCAAAUCAUUAGUGCAUUCUUCAAAAUAUGCUUGCACUCCAUUUUGUCAUUCAAAGUUCAGGAAGUACCUGGUUAUAGAGAACAAAACAAAGAACUUCAGCAAGAAAUCAGUAGAGAUCAGCAGCAAAAAACAUACAACACAGCCUCAAACUUAAUCCAUGUUUCGGUUUAGAAGACCAGAAAUCCCAAAGAAAUUUGUUCUAACUUUUACCAAAAAUCAGAAAAGGCGUCAGCUACUAGUGAAAUAGUAGAGCUAAACUUUUGGGGUAUUUUUAGG
rnacentral:lncRNA from 1 species